rnacentral:rRNA from 1 species
CAUGUCUUUUUGAUUAUAAUUUAAAGUCUGACCUGCCCUAUGAAUAAGAUUUAAAUGGCUGCAGUAUUUUGACUGUGCAAAGGUAGCAUAAUAAUUAGUUUCUUAAUUAGGAACUGGUAUGAAUGGUUGAACGAGAAAAAUACUGUCUCAAUUUAAUUUAAAUUAGAAUUUUAUAUUUAAGUUAAAAAGCUUAAAUAUUUUUAAAAGACGAGAAGACCCUAUAGAGUUUUAUAUUAAAUGAUUUAUUUUAAAAAUUAAAGAAUUUAAGAUUUAAUUAUGUUAUUUAAUAUUUAAUUGGGGCGAUUUAAAAAUUAAUAGAACUUUUUUUAUAUUAUACCAUUGAUAUAUGAAUUUAUGAUCCAUAUUUUAUGAUUAUAAGAUUAAAUUACCUUAGGGAUAACAGCGUUAUUUUUUUUUAGAGUUCUUAUCGAAAAAAAAGUUUGCGACC